GGUGGUAGUGUUAAUAGCACUAUCAUUUGACGUUAGCGACAGAAGAAGCACCGGCUAACUCCGUGCCAGCAGCCGCGGUAAUACGGAGGGUGCGAGCGUUAAUCGGAAUUACUGGGCGUAAAAGCGCAUGCAGGUGGUUUGUUAAGUCAGAUGUGAAAAAGCCCGGGCUCAAACCUCGGAAAUUGCAUUUGAAAACUGGCAGACUAGAGUACUGUAGAGGGGGUAGAAUUUCAGGUGUAGCGGUGAAAAUGCGUAGAGAUCUGAAGGAAUACCGGUGGCGAAGGCGGCCCCUGGACAGAUACUGACACUCAGAUGCGAAAGCGUGGGGAGCAAACAGGAUUAGAUACCCUGGUAG
rnacentral:rRNA from 1 species